CUUCCCACCGUAUUGGCGCGCCGCCGAAACCCCCAACCAGCGGAAGAGCACGGCGAUGGCGGCGGCGGCGGGCGAGGAGGCGGAGAGCUCCGCCGCCGGCGAGCAGCGGCGCGUGCCAUUCGCUCGGGGCGGACCCGUGUUCGUCCCCUUCAUGGUGGGCCCCGUCUCCACUGUCCCCGAGUUCAUGUCGUCCGCCCUCCGCGAGCUGCAGUUAUUGAAAGAUGAAUUGGGUGACCCCGGCGAUGAAUUUGAUGAAGAGCUCUGCGUAGAUGAGUUGAGGGUUCUCUCAGAGGAGGAGCUGGUGGAGCGCGCCCUCCGGGAGGCUAUGGAGGAGUGCUGGGACUCUGCUGCUCUGUCACAGCUGGAGGAUCAAAUGCUUGAUGCAGGAAUGUCUGCAGGUUCUACCCUUGGAGAUGGUGCUAUCACCUCGAGCUCAUCAGGUGAGAGAGAGAGUUCCGGAUCACCUAAUAAGGAUAUGCCAAUUGUACCACAUGUACCGCAAGGAAACAAUGGUAAAACAGGUGGUGGAAGGGGGCAAACCAAAGGCAGGAAGGGGAAAAAUGCCACUGUAACCUUAGAUCCGUCAGUUGAAACAGAAAGACCUGGACCAUCUGUUGACAUGGCAGUUGUAGCUUGUGUACCACAGCAAGGCACUGAAGGGAAAACAGGUGGCAUGAAGGGGAAACCCAGAGGAAGAAAGAGAAAAGGUGUAAAUACCACUUCAAAUUCAUUAGGCGAAAAUGUGAGCGUACCACCUGUCAAGGAUCUGGAAUUUGUUUCACAUGAUCCUGCAAGCACAGAGGGACAUACAAAAUGUGUAAAGGGCAAAAAGAGAGGCCGGCAUUUUGAUCGAGAAGUUCGAGCGCAUAUUUUACAAGGGAGCUAUCUUACUAAAGCAGUGAAGAUGGCAGAAAUCAAGGCCAAACAAGAAGACGACAAACGUGCAGCCAGGUUGCACUCAUUCAGUGGUGAUUCUGUGUUGGUUAAAGGUUCUAAGCCAUCAUCUGAGAAAGUUGAUGUUGCAAAAUCUCUUAGAUACACCAACACAACUUGGAAGAACAAAACUUUCAAAGCUGAGGAGCACAGACCUGUAGUCUAUCCAGAAGUACUUGUGUGUGUGGAAGUUUAUGAGAAGAGAUAUGGCUCUGUGAAAAGCCAGGAAUUUCUGGUGUUGGGAAGCCAGCUCCUUACAGAUCUAAGAGACAAUAUUUACUGUUUCACAGAUAAGCUGAUGAAUGUGGCUAAGCAACACGUUCGUUCUGGUUAUUUUCUUAUUGAGGACACGUUUUACAAUGAUACAAGACAUUCUACUGUUGAUUAUAGUAAACCUAUACUUGACUGGCUUAAAAAUUCCAGCAAUGAGGCGGAAGAGAAAUGGGACACCAUAACUUCUGGCGUUCUGAAGAAACGGCAAAAGGACUUACUGUUGGGUUUGAAUAUUUCAAAUGUUCCUGAUUUUAAAUCUGCAAAAAUGGAAAAGACUCGCUUUUCUGAUCUGAACUUCCGUCUUGGUGCUGGGUACCUUUACUGCCAUCAGGGGAACUGCAAACACAUGAUUGUGAUCAGGGACAUGAGGUUGAUCCACCCCGAGGACACCCAGAACCAAGCGGAAUACCCUCUCAUGACGUUCCAGAUGCAGAGGCGUCUGCAGAAGUGUUCGGUGUGCCAGAUCUACCAUGCUACAAAGAUGACGGUGGACGACAAGUGGACUCAGAACAAUCCCUGUUAUUUCUGCGCCAAAUGCUACUACCUCCUCCACUACAAGGAGGACAACUCACUGCUAUAUCCCCAUACUGUAUAUGAUUACCUCCAGGAGUAGUCUUCGAUGUAUAUUAUUUGUUACAAUUAGCCCGGAUCGCAGGCGCAUAUUUCCAUCUGUCGUCUGUCUGUAAACUGGACAGAUCAUAGGGUAAGCCAACUCAUAGCAACUAAUCAACAUCACCUGUAAACUGGGCAGUUUUGGAGCAGCAGUUCAGAGAAUUAGAGGCCAAGUGGGAGGCGUGGAGCGGAGGCGGUGCAGCGUGAAGGCCACAUGUGGCAACGAGAGGCCC